GGUCAAUUGCUGCUAUAUUUUAUAGUAGAGGAAAGUCCAUGCUUGCACAUUCUGUGAUGAAUGUAGUGUUUUAGUAGGAUUAACAAAUAAAUCCUAGCAUAACUAAUUGUUAUGAUGGCAAAGAUAAUAGCUAAAGAAUUUAUUCCAUGUUAUUCUCUUUAAUAAAGUGCCACAGAGACGAGCUAGAAAGAAAUUUUUAGGUGAAACGCGGUAAACCCCUAAAGCAAGAAACCUAAAUUAUGGUAAGGGAAUGCAAAAACAAGAAAUGAAUUGGUUUUGUGACUUAAAAGAUUUUUUAAGUAGAUAAAUAAUUGACGGCAUUUUUGCUACAGAACAUGGCUUACA
rnacentral:RNase_P_RNA from 1 species